UACGUAGGGUGCAAGCGUUGUCCGGAAUUAUUGGGCGUAAAGGGCUCGUAGGCGGUUUGUCGCGUCGGGAGUGAAAACACACAGCUUAACUGUGUGCUUGCUUCCGAUACGGGCAGACUAGAGGUAUGCAGGGGAGAACGGAAUUCCUGGUGUAGCGGUGAAAUGCGCAGAUAUCAGGAGGAACACCGGUGGCGAAGGCGGUUCUCUGGGACGGUACUGACGCUGAGACGCGAAAGCGUGGGGAGCGAACAGG
rnacentral:rRNA from 1 species